rnacentral:rRNA from 1 species
AGCGAACGCUGGCGGCAGGCCUAACACAUGCAAGUCGAACGACCCCUUCGGGGUUAGUGGCUGUCGGGUGAGUCACAUGUCGGACCGUGCCUUUAGGUUCGGAAUAACACAGGUUCACUUGUGCUAAUAUCGAAUGUGCUCCUCGGGUGCAAGAUUUAUCGCACUUAGAGAGGCACGCGUCUGUUUAGCCAGUUGGUUGAGGAUAUGCCUCACUAAGGCGACGAUCAGUAGCUGGUCUGAGAGGAUGAUCAGCCACAUCGGGACUGAGACACGGCCCGAACUCCUACGGGAGGCAGCGGUAGGGUAUCUUGGGCAAUCGGCGAGAGCCAGACACGGCCAUGCCGCGUGAAGGAUUAAUGUCGGAGGAGUGUAAAAGUCUUUCACCGGGGACGAGAACGGCGGGACCCGGAGGAGUAGCCCCGGCUAAAUUGGGG